AUCACAAAUAAAUGUAUCUUUACACGAAAAUGUACAGAUAUGUAAUAUACGUCUAUACUAACACUACCAAAAAAAUUCAUAUUUUUUUGAAACUGAUUUUCAUGAAAUUUGAACUAUAGGGAACAUUGGAUCUCGGGAACCAAAGUGGGUUUCCUGUGUGGGCUCGCACUUCUUUUCUUCUCGUCCUGGAUGGGCCUUUACCUUGCCAAAAUGCCAAUGCAAGUAAGGCCUACGUUGUACCAACAAGCUUCAGCCAUCCACGAGGCCCAAGCCCAUACACCGAAGCUUUGUCCGCUUCGUGACCGCAAUCAGAAUGUGACACAAACACAAUAUUCCGGGUCCUUGUCCAGAAUCCCUAUUCCCUUUGUGCUAGAAUCCUCAAAACCAGAUAUUUCCCUAGAUGCGAUGUUUUGGAGGCGACACCAACCGCGGGCAUUUCAUAUACUUGGAGAAGCAUUUUGAAAGGGAUUCAUACUCUGAAAUUGGGCCUGAUUUGGCGCGUGGGAGUUGGUCGAACUAUAAAAAUCUGGGAGGACCCAUGGAUUCCGAGAGACAGCACUAGGAAACCAAUUACGCCGAGAGGUAAUUCUAAUUAUCCGUCCUUGGUGUCUGAUCUGAUUGCCCCGCUGUGUGGAGUUUGGGAUGAACAUCUCAUCAGGCAUGUUUUUUGGGAGGAGGAUGCUGACUUGAUUCUUAAAAUUCCAAUCCACCUUGCCUUCAGUGAUGUAGUGGCAUGGCAUCCUGAUCCAAAAUGGCUCUUUUCUGUAAAAUCCGCUUACCACUUAACUGCUGCCAACGAAGAAAAAGAGAGUACUAACGGGGGCGGCGGCUCUGCUAGCGAGCUGGGGGGUCAAAUUUUGUGGAAUAAGCUCUGGAAUUCUUGCGUCCCUAACAAGACCAAACAUUUUCUCUGGAGGCUGGCCCAUAACACGAUUGCAGUGAGAAUGAACCUGAGAUAUAAAGGCAUGGACAUCGAUUCUAAUUGUUUGUUCUGUAGUUGCAAGUUUGAAGACACAGGCCAUCUGCUGUUCAAGUGUAAGCAAGUGAGACAGUUGUGGAGAGGUCUUGGUAUGGAGGAAGAGAGGCUUGUGUUCAGUACGAAAACCAAUGCCCAUGAUGUUUUUGAGAUCCUUCUGAAUAUGAAUUAUGGUAAGCUUGCCCUGGUUGCCUUCCUGUUGUGGAACCGGUGGCUGCAAAGAAAUAAAGUGCGGGAUGGCGAGUCCUUGCGCCCUGUCGAAGACCUUAUUUUCUCUGUCAGAAAUCAAACCAGCUCCUUUUUGGAAACUUCUGAGAAAACCAACAGCAGAAGCAGCAGACUCUUAACAAUGUGGCAGAAACCUAAGAUGGGGUGGAUUAAAAUUAACUCUGAUGGAUCCUUUAUUGCGGAAUCUAACAGUGGAGGCUAGGGUGCUGUUCUGCGAGACUGCAAUGGAGAUGUGGUGGCGUGCGGGGCUGGGAAUCGAACUCAUUUGCUGAGUGCUCUUCAGUCUGAAACUCUGGCUGCUAAUCAAGGCGUGAAGAUGGCCAUCGAGCUGGGCAUCCAGAGAAUUGUGCUGAAAACUGACUCUUUGAUCCUCAAGGCAACUCUGCUCUCAUCGACCACUGACAAGUCUCUUAUUUCUAUGGUGAUUGAAGAAACCAAGGAGCUCCUGGCCUCUCUUUUUUCUAAUUUCCAAGUUGUUAAUUGUGGUAGGAGCUGUAACUCUGUAGCACACAGUUUGGCUUCUGUUGGAUCAAGCUUCGUCCACCGGUUAAUGCAUCUUUGCAUUCCAAAAAGGUGUCCAAGGAACUUGCAUCUUGGCAUUUCUGAUUAGACAGAUGUGACCACUUCACUAUCCCAGUACCAACAAAUAUUUUUCUUACA